rnacentral:rRNA from 1 species
AGAGUUUGAUCCUGGCUCAGGAUGAACGCUAGCUACAGGCUUAACACAUGCAAGUCGAGGGGCAUCGAGAAGAAAGCUUGCUUUCUUUGUCGGCGACCGGCGCACGGGUGAGUAACGCGUAUCCAACCUGGCCCGCAGUAGGGAACAGCCCGGCGAAAGUCGGAUUAAUGCCCUAUGUCUUCCUUUGCAGGCAUCCAAUGAGGAAGAAAGAUUUAUCGCUGCGGGAUGGGGAUGCGUCUGAUUAGCUUGUCGGCGGGGUAACGGCCCACCGAGGCGACGAUCAGUAGGGGUUCUGAGAGGAAGGUCCCCCACACUGGUACUGAGACACGGACCAGACUCCUACGGGAGGCAGCAGUGAGGAAUAUUGGUCAAUGGGCGAGGGCCUGAACCAGCCAAGUAGCGUGCAGGACGACUGCCCUAUGGGUUGUAAACUGCUUUUAUGCGGGGAUAAACUUCAGCACGUGUGCUGUUUUGCAGGUACCGCAUGAAUAAGGACCGGCUAAUUCCGUGCCAGCAGCCGCGGUAAUACGGAAGGUCCGGGCGUUAUCCGGAUUUAUUGGGUUUAAAGGGAGCGCAGGCGGGUUGUUAAGCGUGACGUGAAAUGUAGGGGCUCAACCUUUGAAUUGCGUCGCGAACUGGCGACCUUGAGUGGGUACGACGCGGACGGAAUUCGUGGUGUAGCGGUGAAAUGCUUAGAUAUCACGAAGAACUCCGAUUGCGAAGGCAGUCCGCGAGUCCCCAACUGACGCUAAAGCUCGAAAGUGCGGGUAUCGAACAGGAUUAGAUACCCUGGUAGUCCGCACGGUAAACGAUGAAUGCCCGCUGUCUGCGAAACACUGGAAGCGGGCCAAGGGAAACC